rnacentral:rRNA from 1 species
CCCUUAGACGUUCUGGGCCGCACGCGCGCUACACUGACCAGUGCAACAAGCAUCCGUCCUUGGCCGACAGGCCCGGGCAAUCUUUGAACGCUGGUCGUGAUGGGGAUAGACUUUUGCAAUUUUUGGUCUUCAACGAGGAAUUCCUAGUAAACGCAAGUCAUCAACUUGCAUUGAUUACGUCCCUGCCCUUUGUACACACCGCCCGUCGCUCCUACCGAUUGAAUGGUCCGGUGAAGCGCUCGGACCGCGGCCUCUUGACGGUUUUCCGUCGAUUGGCUGUGGGAAGUUCGUUAAACCUUAUCAUUUAGAGGAAGGAGAAGUCGUAACA